rnacentral:rRNA from 1 species
UACAGAGGGUGCGAGCGUUGUCCGGAAUUACUGGGCGUAAAGGGCGCGUAGGCGGCCAGGUAAGUAGGGGGUGAAAUCUGACGGCUCAACCGUCAGACUGCCUUCUAAACUGCCGGGCUUGAGCACGGUAGAGGCUGGUGGAAUUCCCGGUGUAGCGGUGGAAUGCGUAGAGAUCGGGAAGAACAUCCGUGGCGAAGGCGGCCAGCUGGGCCGUAGCUGACGCUGAGGCGCGACAGCGUGGGGAGCAAACCGAGUAGUAA